rnacentral:rRNA from 1 species
UACGUAGGGAGCAAGCGUUGUUCGGAUUUACUGGGCGUAAAGGGCGCGUAGGCGGCAGAUCAAGUCAGUUGUGAAAUCUCUGAGCUUAACUCAGAACUGUCAACUGAUACUGCUCUGCUAGAGUGCGGAAGGGGCAAUCGGAAUUCUUGGUGUAGCGGUGAAAUGCGUAGAUAUCAGGAAGAACACCAAUGGCGAAGGCAGCUCUCUGGGACGGUACUGACGCUGAGACGCGAAAGCGUGGGGAGCGAACAGG